rnacentral:lncRNA from 1 species
ACGAGAAUGCCGUGUCAUCCAGCGGAGCUUAGAAGAAGGUGACUCGGAGCCUAAGGAAGGUGACUCGCGCAGACAACUAACUCCUUUUCAAUACAAAGGAAUAGCCAAACCUACCCAGCUGGCUGGUCAAUCUCAGUGAUCUUAUCAACCAGCAAAGCAGAGAGGAACGACCACGGUCCCGACCUUACCAGCACCGUAGGUUCACUAAUCAAUGAAGCCCCUCAACCUACUAUCUUUUCUUACAAACUCAACCAAUCCUAACCAAACCCCAUGCUAACCACAUGUUCUUGAUAUUCAUUGAGUUGGAAGGAGUCAGAAACUACCAUGGAAUCCUCCCAUAGUCACCCCGGUGACCUUCGUGAAGGACCGGAAAGGCGACCAGAGGGGGGUGAAUGGGAGCCGAUUCAAAUUUUCUUCAAAAACCUCGGCUAAAAACCCCAAACCCUCUCAUCUAGCAAAAUCAAGUCCAGUUAGCUAUGAACGAGCUAAUGGACCUAGGAAUGAUACCAGAAACCCAAAUUGACAAUAGCCGAAAUAAGCAAGAGUCCAAAUGAAUCUCGGAAGAAGGUAUUUG